rnacentral:ncRNA from 1 species
UUAAUUUGGCUUAACACGAGAAAACUUACUAGGUCCAAACAUAAUAAGUAUUGACAAACUGAGAGAACUUUCUUGAUUGUAUGGGUGGUCGUGCAUGAUCGUUCUUAGUUGAUGGAGCAAUUUGUUUGGUUAAUUUUGUUAAUGAACGAGAUCUCAGCUUGCUAAAUAGCUAUAUGGAGAUAGCUCUUUACAACUAGCUUCUUAGAGGAACUAUGACCGCUUUUUAGAAAAACUAUGACCGCUUAAGUCACAAAAAUUCUGAAUCACAAUUGCUAUACUAGACGACUUAAAAU